GACAGAUUGCCAAAUCAUAUAAUGUGAUUAGCUGAUACUUGAAAUACCUAUCAAGGUAUAUUGUAAGAUGUGGCAUGCGUCAGACACAACUGGGCAGAGGAACGCGUCUACAGUCUCUUUCAACAGCCACGGUGUCUGGAGUGCAUUGAGUGUGGCUAAUCUCGACCACCAGCUGGCUCUCUCUCCGAACCUUCUUCGGUCUGGCAAUUGAGGCUACCAAUAGUACGACGUUGAUAGGUUAUGACACCGUCAUGGGAUAGAGUUAGGCAUUUCUAAUGCGCCAACCUGAUCAAAGUGGUUCUGAGUGAGCACAGUUUCUCCAGGGUGGGGGGCUUUGGGACGGAAUUUAACGUUUCCAAGGUGCUGCUCCACUACAUGUACAAUUACAUGACCUGCAACAACGACAUCAUGCUGAUCAAAAGGCCGGACACCCUCAACGCCAACGUUCAGCCCAGUGUGGACACGUCCCCGUUGCAGCAGGGAACAACCUGUAUGGUGAGCGACUGGGGGGGUCACUAACAUCUUCAGCUACAACCUGUCCCUGUGACCCAAACCGUGGACGUCAUCACCUACUCUCAUAUGUACAUACUGUAUUCUAUUCUAUACUUCUUAGUCUAUGCCGCUCUAAAUUGCUCAAAUAUAUAUUUAUAUAUUCUUAUGAAUUUACCACAGGUGGAAUCCAAUCAAGUUGUAGAGACAUCUCAAGGAUGAUCAAUGGAAACAGGAUGCACCUGAGCUCAAUUUCGAUUUACUUAUUCUCUAUUUCUUAAUUCUAAUCAAUAACUCUCCAGUUCGGAGUGAGUAUUUCAUCACAUAACAAUGUCAUCCUUUUUACACUGUUAAGUGUUAAAGGUGGUAGUGUACACUUAAAGCUUGGUUUCGAUCUGGAGCAGGGGCGUGCAAGGGUGUCAAAUCCAAUGUUUCAAGGUUCAUGUCUGUUUUGCAAUUUCUGACUACCCAUCAUAAGGAACUGUUUCAUGAGUCCAUCUGACUAAGCAUUAUAGCGAAGCAAGCCUGCAAUGUACAUACAGUAUGAUGUAGUUCUGUCUGUCCAAGGUCUACACUUCUGUAGAUUAUUUCCUCAGUCAGCCUUGGAAUUUAGUCAUUCAGAAUUUAGUCAUUCAGUCAGAAUUUAGUCAUUCAGUCAGAAUUUAGUCAUUCUGUCAGAAUUUAGUCAUUCCGUCAGAAUUUAGUCAUUCAGUCAGAAUUUAGUCAUUCAGUCAGAAUUUAGUCAUUCCGUCAGUCAGUUAAAGUGGGCAAGAAGCCUUUUUGUGCACAAGUUUAACUAACAGUCAGUAAAUCAGAGUUUCAAUAAUGUUGUUAAUGAUGAUCGGAGGGGAGACCAUCUAAACUAAGUUAUGUCCGUGGCAUAAAGACAUGCUUUUAGCCAAACAGAGCAAUUAGCAUAUUGGCCCGUUAGUAAUGGUCAAUUCAUCCUUUGAUUUAGCCUUGAACUUCAGUAUAAAAUUUAGUGUCAACAAGUCAGGCUAAGAGAGGUGGCAAACAAGUUGGUCAACAACAAGCUUGAUCAAAGUAAUAUUAGAGUUUGUCUAGCGAGCCCAUAGCCUUCUGUCUGUUAUUCAAAAGGCUCAUAUUUGUAAUCCUCUCAGGGACAAAUGUAUUUAAAGGACAAACGCCCUUAUAGUCACCAAAAGGAUUGCCGUUUUGUCAUUGUUGGUCAACUACUCUGUCAAUCAUCAACUGUUGGAAGUUCCUUAGAGGCAUACUUUCCAUCUGAAACAGUUCGGAAGAGUUUGUGUAUACAUUAUGAUGACAUUGUGUGACGUUUUGGGACUUCGGUAAGGUUAUUUGUUUUGGCUGUUCGGGCACAAUAUUUUUUCUCGAAACCGGCCGAAGUUCUAGGAGCCGAAAUCUCAGCACCUUCGUCCGUGAUUGGUCACCUGUAGGGAUUCUUCAAUAAAGCAAUUGUUGUCAUUAAACGAGAAACAACACGUUUUCCUACACAUUUUUUAAUUGAGAAAUACUGCACCAAACAUGUUAGAUGUAAAAUUGCGCGACUUAGAUCUUUCUCUGCAAAAACGUCCGAAUUAAUGACAGAUUUCUUGAGUUAUUUUAGGUUAAUUCUGACUAUUUUGAGGAAAUGUAUACUGGCUACGGCAUCUCAAAUAUGUCAAACAGUACAAUUAACCUUUUUCAAGCGAAGGUCUUUUAAGGGAGUAUGGGAGUACACUCGUUCGGUUCACUAACCGACUUCGGCUAGCCAUCAGCCGAACUGAAGCAUGCUGGCUGACCAGCGUGGAAAAACGACUAAAUUGUCAUACUUGAGUAAAAGUAAAGAUACCUUAAUAGAACACGACUUCAGUAAAAGUCACCCAGUAAAAUACUACUUGAUUAAAAGUCUGAAAGCAUUUGGUUUUAAAUAUACUUUAGUAUAAAAUGUGGUUUUAAUUAUACUUUAGUAUCAAGAGUAAAUGGAAUUGCUAAAAUAUACUUAAGUAUUAAAAGUCAAAGUAUAAAUCAUUUCAAAUUCCUUAUACAAAGCAAAGCAGACAGCCAUAUUUAUUAUUUUUAUUGAUGGAUAGCCAGGGGCACACUCCGACACUCCAACUCUCCUACACUCAGACAUCAUUUACAAACAAAGCAUUUGUGUUUAGUGAGUCUGCCAGAUGAAAGGCAGUAGAUGACCAGGGAUGUUCUCUGUUUAGUGAGUCUGCCAGAUGAAAGGCAGUAGAUGACCAGGGAUGUUCUCUGUUUAGUGAGUCUGCCAGAUGAAAGGCAGUAGAUGACCAGGGAUGUUCUCUGUUUAGUGAGUCUGCCAGAUGAAAGGCAGUAGAUGACCAGGGAUGUUCUCUGUUUAGUGAGUCUGCCAAAUGAAAGGCAGUAGAUGACCAGGGAUGUUCUCUGUUUAGUGAGUCUGCCAGAUGAAAGGCAGUAGAUGACCAGGGAUGUUCUCUGUUUAGUGAGUCUGCCAGAUGAAAGGCAGUAGAUGACCAGAGAACCAUGUUCUCUUGAUAAGUGUAUGAAUGGGACUAUUUUCCUGUUCUGCUAAGCAUUCAAAAUGUAACGAGUACUUUUGUGUGUCAGGGAAAAUGUAUGGAAUAAAAAGUACAUUAUUUUCUUUAGGAAUGUAUUGAAGUAGAAGUAAGAGAUGGCAAAAAUAUAAAUAGUAACAUACAUAUACCACAAAAAAACGACUUAAGUAGUAUUUUAAAGUAUUUUUACAUAAGUACUUUACACCACCGAUGCUGACGACAUGGAAAUGAGUGCUGCAAAAAGUCAGAGAUGAUUUCAUGUGUUAUAUUCCAAUUUAAAAAAUCAAUACAAAAAAAAUCUAAUCAAAUGAUUGAUCAAUUCAUCAAGCUCAUUAGAGGGGACAGGUGAGACUUCUCUUCAGCUCUGCCUGCUCUACCUGACUGUUGCGUGUUACAACCCGGGGGUGUGUGCAGAGAGGAACACCAUCUGCAAAGCAGGGUCAGAGGGUUACAGGAGCUUCAAGGCCAUCGCUAUCGCCAGGUAAAGUUCAUGUAGUGGGUGCUCUUGGAACUGUUCUAGUUUAACGUCCCAAAUCUCUUCAUUUUUUCACCGCUCUAAGGCUGACCCCUAGUGUCAGGAACGUGCUAUAACAUCUUGAUAACAGUCGAGCGUUCUCAAACAACUGUGUAAGAGUGGCAUAGUGCAGUGUGCCAAGGAUAUUCAUUUUAUUUUCAUCGACUGUAUUGUAAAAUGUCUUGUAUCUAUAAUAUCUGCAGUGACUUAAUCGACCAAUUCAUCUCACCAUGCGGUGGCUGCAGACAGUUCAUGACACACACACACACACUUUUUUAAACAACCUGUGUGCCUUUGGAAUGUUAAUUGCUUAAUUAACUCAGAAAACACACCUGUGUGGAAGCAUCUGCUUUGUAUCAAGUAUUUCCUUUAUGUUGGCAGUUACCUGUAAAUCAUUGAAAUAUAGUAGAUUGAGGGUGACAGGAUGUAGAAUUCUAAUCUAGAAAAAGGACCUAUUUUUGUAGCAUGUGUGGACGGGAAAGUAAUGAUACGCUAAAGGUCAAUGAGUGUAUGUUUAUGCAUUUUCAUUGUUAACGUAUAUAAAAAUGGUAAAUAACGUUACAUAUUUAAGUGCAUUGAUCAAUUUGUUGUGUACUAAAUGAAUACGUAAAAUGUUUGUCUCAUUUAGUUGGUAUUUAUCUUCAAUCUAAUUUCUGAGUGAUAGAUUUAGAAGAAGUGUAUUUGUGUUAGGAAGCAUAUAGGCAAUAUGAAAUACGUAUGAACAGCACAUCAAAUAAUUAAAUAUUAUUCACAUUUUCACAAAUAAACAGUACAUACAAAUAUUUAAAAUGGUCUACAGCCUUGAUUUCUCAGAACAAUAAUAGACUGACGAGUUUCAGAAGAAAGUUAUUUGUUUCUGGCCAUUUUGAGCCUGUAAUCAAACCCACAAAUGCUGAUGCUCCUGAUACUCAACUAGUCUAAAG
rnacentral:lncRNA from 13 species